rnacentral:rRNA from 1 species
GAAUAUUGGACAAUGGGCGAAAGCCUGAUCCAGCCAUGCCGCGUGUGUGAAGAAGGUCUUCGGAUUGUAAAGCACUUUAAGUUGGGAGGAAGGGCAGUAAGCGAAUACCUUGCUGUUUUGACGUUACCGACAGAAUAAGCACCGCCUACCUCUGUGCCAGCAGCUGCGGUAAUACAGCGGGUGCAAGCGUUAAUCGGAAUUACGGGGGGUAAGGCGCGCGUAGGUGUGUCGUUAAGUUGGAUUUGAAAUCCCCGGGCUCAACCUGGGAACUGCAUCCAAAACUGGCGAGCUAGAGUAGGGCAGAGUGUGGUGGAAUUUCCUGUGUAGCGGUGAAAUGCGUAGAUAUAGGAAGGAACACCAGUGGCGAAGGCGACCACCUGGGCUCAUACUGACACUGAGGUGCGAAAGCGUGGGGAGCGAACA